rnacentral:rRNA from 1 species
UACGGGGGGGGCAAGCGUUGUUCGGAAUUACUGGGCGUAAAGGGCUCGUAGGUGGCCAACUAAGUCGGACGUGAAAUCCCUCAGCUUAACUGGGGAACUGCGUCCGAUACUGGAUGGCUCGAGUUUGGGAGAGGGAUGCGGAAUUCCAGGUGUAGCGGUGAAAUGCGUAGAUAUCUGGAGGAACACCGGUGGCGAAGGCGGCAUCCUGGACCAACACUGACACUGAGGAACGAAAGCCAGGGGAGCAAACGGG